rnacentral:lncRNA from 1 species
UACGAUCCCAGACCCACCCUGGGGAGGGAGAGGUCCCUAAGUUUACCGUCUUGACGUGUUUUCUUAUACAAACAUUCUUAUAUCUAACAGCUGCAAACGCCACUGGUCUGAGGAUGUGAACUCUGCAGAGAAGUGAAAUAUUCAUAGGCAAUCUGUGUAUCAAAUAAUAGCUCUUCAUUAUUCAUGACAUGAAAAACCAGGAAAUAAAUGGACAAAAGAAACACAAUAAUUAUAGCAAAUGAAUCGAACUCAGGUCCUCACACUUGUCAGGAAAGUGCUGUGCUGCUGAGCUAUAUCCCCAGCGCUGCAGGGAACUUCUUCAACUGAGCACUGCCAGAGUUACGGGCUGGUGAACACACCCAGAACCCCAGAGAGCCAGCUUCGGCCAGUUAGGUGUGAAUUCAAAUCAUCACAACAAUAACAGACUUCCUGGAUAAAGAGGAGCGAGGCGUUCGAUAGACACAGAGCUACCGUUCCAUAGGAAGAGCAAGUUCCGAUGUUCUUUGCAGGGCAGGAUGAUUAGCGUUAACAAUAACAU